rnacentral:misc_RNA from 1 species
AUGUAAAAUUAGGAAAUUUAAGAGCUUUAUUUUUUAGAAAUUUUAUUCUUUUUAGGUCAUUUCCUAAUUUAUUUUGGUUUAGUUUAAUAUUCGUAAUUAGAAUUGAAUUAAGCUUGUAAAAUCUUAAUGUAAUUGGAAUUCCUAAUUCUAUAAACAAGACUUAGGGUUUCUAUUGUUUAGACAAGCUUUGCUAUGACAAUUUUAUAAGAUCAAUA